UACGAAGGGGGCUAGCGUUGUUCGGAAUCGACUGGGCGUAAAGGGCGCGUAGGCGGCUUUAUAAGUCGGGGGUGAAAGCCUGUGGCUCAACCACAGAAUUGCCUUCGAUACUGUAGAGCUUGAGACCGGAAGAGGUAAGUGGAACUGCGAGUGUAGAGGUGAAAUUCGUAGAUAUUCGCAAGAACACCAGUGGCGAAGGCGGCUUACUGGUCCGGUUCUGACGCUGAGGCGGCGAAAAGCGUGGGGAGCAAACAGG
rnacentral:rRNA from 1 species